GGUUGGAUAGCUCAGUUGGUAAAGCAGGAGACUCUUAAUCUCAGGGUCGUGGGUUUGAGACCUAUGUUGGGCA